GGAGGGUGUAACCUUUAAAGGUGGUCUGAUUAAUAUUCAGAAAGAAGGACAAAGAUCCUCUCUCUUU
rnacentral:tRNA from 1 species